UACGUAGGGGGCUAGCGUUGUCCGGAAUCAUUGGGCGUAAAGCGCGCGUAGGCGGCCCGGUAAGUCCGCUGUGAAAGUCAAAGGCUCAACCUUUGAAUGUCAGCGGAUACUGCCGGGCUAGAGUCCGGAAGAGGCGAGUGGAAUUCCUGGUGUAGCGGUGAAAUGCGCAGAUAUCAGGAGGAACACCAAUUGCGAAGGCAGCUCGCUGGGACGUUACUGACGCUGAGACGCGAAAGCGUGGGGAGCGAACAGG
rnacentral:rRNA from 1 species